CCCCCCUAGGGUUCCGGAUGGUGAGCGGCGAAGGUAAGGCGAGCUCGCAGAGGCAUCGGCGGCGGCGGCGGAGACGGAGAGAGGCAGGCAGGCAGGGCGAGGGCGAGAGACGGAGGGAGGGAGCGAGCGAGGCGGACCAGACAGACAGACAGGCGGGCGGGCGGGCAGAGCGAGCCACCCGCCAGGCUGCGCUCAGCCCCGCUCGCAGCGGAGAGAGCAGAAGGCAGGAGGAGGGAGGGGAGGAGGGGGAGGGAGGGAGAGAGGGAAUCCAGCUACCACCACCCAAAGCCAGCGUCUGCUUUCUGUCCUCAUUUCCUUUUCCCACCCAGCUUGGAGAGCAGAGAAAGGCAGAGAGAGCGAGAAAUAGAGACAGUCUGAGAGACAGACAGACAGCCAGAGAGAGCGGGAGGGAGGAGGGCGGAGGAGGAGGAGCAGGAGGACUACGCGGGGCGCGUUCCCUCCCAGCAGCCGGGCGCCCGCGUCGCUGCCACCGCCGGAAGACAGACGCCCCCUAAAACCCCUCGCCUGGCUCGGACCCACGGAGCCGGCAGCCCAGCACUCCGGCCUCCCCCUCUUCCCAGAGCCUCCUCUGCCUGGGGAGGCAUCUCCACCCCUUCACCGCCCCAGGCUCUUCAUUCCUGGACAGUGAGGCUGGACAUCUGGUUCAAAGCUGCCCCACCCAAGACCCUGUGCUCUGGGCACCCUGGCCUGGGCUUGAAGGUUUGGGGCCCCUUUGGGGUGGGGGCAGAGCCCGUUGGCACCUGGUCACCCUGGUCUUUCAGCCAGGAAACUCUCAGUACCCAGCCCUGCCCUGGCUCUGGCACGUAUGUGGGAGAGGGGGACAGGGGGAGUUGCCCCCAGCCUACACUUUUUCAAGUGCUUGCCAAAUCACUGCCCCCUCCCCCAACCCCUUGGCUCACCUGAGAGGGACAUGGGGCCUGGGGCUUCAGGGAGAGGGAUGGAGAAGGUGUUGGAUUGACACUACCCCCCACCACCAAAUCCAGGCUGCGGGGCUUGGUCUCCCUGGGAGUCAGUUCCGACAGUGAAGGUUACUUUACUAGAUGCAUGAUUUUAAACGGAAUCUCCACCAUCUGUUCCACCCCCUAAUUACAGAUGCACAGAAUCCGCCUCAGAGGGCAGCAUGAGGGGAGUGAUUUAGAGGCUGAGCUGCUUCUGCCUGCGUUAGGACUGGGGAGAUAGGGGGGCUCUGGGUAUUGCUCACAGCCCCCAAAUCCCUUCUCUUUCCUAGGGGUCCCUCGUGCCUCCUCUCUUGCUGAGGGAAGGCUCACAGAGGGGCUCCACUGACCCCCAAGACCCGAAAGAGGAAGCAAUGGCAGUGCUGUGGGAAGGGUCCCCAAGACAUCGCCUGUGUCCCAGUCCAGCAAGUCCUGGGAUGCAGGCUCCAUUAGGGCCUUAAAAAAUUCAGUGAAUCGAUCUCCUGCCUGCCUCUUGUGCCCUGGGGAGCCACAGGCACUGGCUUAGUCCAGCUGUCUGCCCACCCUGGGGGUAGCAGGGAUUGGUGAGAUAGGGAGGGGUUCGGAGCAGAGGUGGGGCAGCCAGGUUCUGGCAGCAAAGCCCACGGGCAGGCAUGCCAAGAUCCACCGGGGGUGUUUGCACAUAUGUGCCCAUCCGCCCUGGCGCAGCUGGCGUGCCUGACCCCAGCUGGAGCCAUGGCUGUGGGACUGGGGCAGCACCAAGGGCCAGAGGGAAUGGGCCAGGGCCUGGGCCUUAGAGGGUUCUGAGGGACACAGGGCUACACCCUGAGAAUGGGUCCAUCUUUGCCCAUGGACACCAGGGACCUGGGUCCCAGCCUGCCUGGGGGUAGUGGUGGCGGCAGCAGUGGGCACACUGCGGUAGACUCUGGAGCAUUCACUGCAGGGAGAGAGGGAGAGAGGUUGGGCUGGAGGAAUUUUAAAGAUUGCUGCAGGCAGGAGGGUCUCUGGAACCCUGUGGAGCGGGCAGUCAUGCAGAAGUAAUCCUAUCGCUGCCUGCCUGGAGGAGUGGAGGGGGAGGGGAGGGACGGAGCUGCUCCCCCUUCCCCACCUCAGCCCCUGCCCCAGCCAGCCCUGGAGGGAGCCCGGGACCCUAGGGGCCUUCCCUGAGGAGGCACCGUGUCUUCUCCGUUCCACCGAGGCCUGUGCCCCCUGGAGGGGCAGCACCGCAGCUGUUGCUCAGUUCCUUGCUCUGGGUUUUAUAAAUAAUGCAGCUCGGAGGUGGGGCCAACUCUGCCCCUGGUCACCUUGGGUCACCCAGUAUGGCACCUCCAGCUGGCAGUUCUUUGGCAGAGCCCCUCUCCUGUCCAGCCUGUGCCUCCUCAUCUGCUGUGUGAGCUUGGGCCAGGGGCCCAGCCUCUCUGAGCUGGGCCCAAGGUAGAGGAGUGUGGAAGAACCCAGAAACCCUGGUCCUUUCGUCCCACCCCCAGCCCUCACAGGUUAACCGGCAGCCGACUCAGCCAAUCCGGGCUGGAGAGGGAUGGCCUGUCUACAGGGCCUCCUCCGUUCCGGCCCCUCCAUUUUGCAGAUGGAGUAACCGAGUCCAGAGGGGCGCAAGGGUGGUUAAGGCCAGCCAGCUGGGGAGCCCCCUCCUUCCUGCCCCAUUCUGCUGUCACUCAGGCUCUUCUCAGCCUCAGCUCAGCUAAGCUAAGAGCAGGGCCUGGGGGGGGAGGGCGGGGGAUGUUUGGGAAAGUGGUUGCGGCUGAGAGGUUGCCAUGGCGAUGCUGCAGGAUGCCGAGCUGAAGUGGGGGUCCUACAGGGUCUCUGGGGCCCCCAGCUCUGCACCCCUGUGGUCUUCUCCUCCCCAUCUCCUGUCCCCCACCCAGAUGUCUGUCAGGCGGCUCUGGUGACAGGCUGGGUGGGUGACAGGUGGUGCAGGUGAUGGGCUGGGUGGGUGACGAGCUGGGUGGGUGACAGGUGGUGCGGGUGCGAGGCAGGCAGGUGACAAGCUGGGUGGUGACGGGCUCUGCGGAUGACAGGCAGGGGGUGUGGUUGGCGAGGAUGCUGUCUCCUGGCUGGUGGCCUGUUGCAGCCCCCUACCCUCAUGCGUGUGCACACAUAUAGACUCUGGGCUCAGAGCUUGGGGCUAAGAUACUAAUGAGGCUUAUUACUCGUGGAGGGGCAGGUGCCCAGGCUUACUAAUGAGAGGCCUUUAACGAAUAGGGGAGACAGCUAGGGGGCUUCAAGGAAUUGGUCUGGCCCUUCUGGGCUGAGACCCUGGGGGUCCUGAUCUGGCUCAAGGAUGAAGCUGGCAUCGCCUCCAGCCAGGUCAGGGAUCCCUCUUUCCACUUCUCCCUGGCCACUGGAUUUAUGUUAAUACUAACCACAGUUAUGAUCGCUACCACUGUUCAAGCACUUAUUAUGUAUCAGGCACUGUGCCAAGGCCUUUGCAUGCAUUUUCUCAUUUCAGCUCAACAGUCCUAGGAGGAAGGCACUAUUACCCCAUUUUACAGAUGGGGAGUCUGAGGCAGAGAAAAGGCACAGGACUUCAUCUAACAAGUUACCAGUGCAGUUAGGACAUUAAUCCGGGUCUAUGUGUCCCUAGAGCAUGUGCUCUUAACCACCUCACCAGUAAAACUCAGGUCUUAGUGCAGACUCCAGAUCCUCUCUCAGGGACUGGAAAAUGGGCAUGUGGUGGAGGGGUAAUCCCCAUAAACUCUUCAGCUCUGACUUGGGUGACUUUGAGGACUCCUCCAGGUAGCUGCUGUGACCUUACCCCUUCUGGGCCAGAUUCUGGACAGAGGGCAAGGCUUAAUGCUAAGGGGGCUGAGCCGAAAGGGGGUCACCUGGGAUAUCUGAGCCACUUUCUGCAUUGUGCAGUGGGAAGGCUGAGGCCCAGCGAGGAGCAGUCACCACCCAAGGUCACACACCCUGUGAGCUGUAGGGCCCCAUGGGAUCCCAGGUCUCCUGGCCUCUUGAAAGGGUAGAGCUGGGUGUGGUGCCAGAGCUGGGAGGCUACCUCCUCCUGGGCCCCACCCGCCAGCCUAGUUUCCUCCCUGGAUGUUGUGAGCCCCCAGCUUCUGGGAGGGUGUAGGGGUCUGUUGGCAGACUCCUUAGGGCCAUGCCCUCUCCCCAUCAAUCUGAGCCCCUAGUGUCAGUUGUGCCCCUCCCUUUGGAACCCACCGAGGUGGAAACUCCCUGGCAACAGCUGAUGGAUGGGUUAGGGCUUUGACAUUGGCCUGGGGCCACAGCAUGGCCCUGGAGGGACCAGGCUGGGGCUGGGGGGUGGGGGUUGGAGGGGAAUUUAAGGGAGAAGAAUUAGGUUCAUAAAUCAUGGAACAUCUCGUUUCUCCUCCUCAACCUUAAUCUCUUAGCAAACCUGCUCUCCAACUGCUCAUCCAAGGUGCUGAGGGUUGAGGGAGCCCACCUGCCCAUUCCCCACUCCCUCCAGCUGAUGCUCAUCCCCUCCGGAAAUUGCACCCUCCCACGGGAAAGAAAGAACUGCAGCCACUAUUGCUAGGCAGCACUAAGACAAGUCCAGAUGACUGGGUUUUGCCUCUGACUCAUUGUGAUGAGUAGGGCGGAGGGCUUCACUGCCUCAGUUUCCCCAACUUUGGACCUUAAAUCCUCUCCUGGUGUCUCUCAGCCCAGCCAGGAAGGAGAGCUAAGACCAAGAGGGAUUUAACAGAUACGGGACACACAGCCUUGUCCUCAGACCCCUAGGUCUGAGAGGAGAAGCAAAACCCUCACCUUGAGCGCCCUCGCACUUGGAGGCGAGGUGCAGAACCCAGGCUGGGUGUGUGCUGAG
rnacentral:lncRNA from 1 species